CUUUGGGAUAACCCUCGGAAACGGGGGCUAAUACCGAAUAUUACUGCUGGUCGCAUGGCUGGUGGUGGAAAGUUUUUCGGCUUGGGAUGGGCUCGCGGCCUAUCAGCUUGUUGGUGGGGUGAUGGCCUACCAAGGCGACGACGGGUAGCCGGCCUGAGAGGGCGACCGGCCACACUGGGACUGAGACACGGCCCAGACUCCUACGGGAGGCAGCAGUGGGGAAUAUUGCACAAUGGGCGGAAGCCUGAUGCAGCGACGCCGCGUGAGGGAUGACGGCCUUCGGGUUGUAAACCUCUUUCAGCAGGGACGAAGCGUAAGUGACGGUACCUGCAGAAGAAGCACCGGCCAACUACGUGCCAGCAGCCGCGGUAAGACGUAGGGUGCGAGCGUUGUCCGGAUUUAUUGGGCGUAAAGAGCUCGUAGGCGGCUUGUCGCGUCGACCGUGAAAACUUGGGGCUCAACCCCAAGCCUGCGGUCGAUACGGGCAGGCUAGAGUUCGGUAGGGGAGACUGGAAUUCCUGGUGUAGCGGUGAAAUGCGCAGAUAUCAGGAGGAACACCGGUGGCGAAGGCGGGUCUCUGGGCCGAUACUGACGCUGAGGAGCGAAAGCGUGGGGAGCGAACAGGAUUAGGUACCCCGGUAGUCCACGCUGUAAACGUUGGGCGC
rnacentral:rRNA from 1 species